CCUCCUGCAAGAAGCUACUUGUUUUCAGUACUGGGAUCAUUAUUUUGUUACAGGAUAAAUUCCCAUUUUACUGAUUCCAGUUUAUUGUUAUUAUAAUGACCUUACGCGGGGAAGGAACAAAUUACAAUUACGAACUUUAAGAAGACAACAUUGGAAAAUAACAUUGCUAUCCCCAACCUUAAAGAAAGGAGGAAGUUAGACAAAAUUUAUGACGAGGUCCUCAGGUGUUUGCAGACAUGCUGGCACUAUAAGCUGGCCUUGUAACAUGUGGAGAGACAGACUAAAUCAUUUCAGAUUUUAAGUCUCAUGGCCGUGAUCACGAAGAAUUAACAUCUUCUGGAACAUGAGCCAUGUGUAUUCUAGAAGUAUUUUCUUCUGAAGCGUCGGUAACUUCUGCCAGACUACACGGAAUCACACUCAGGAGAUACGUAUUACUCUUCACAAUGUUUAACUAAGAGAAUUUAUGCCCCAUGGAUUAAGAAUAGAGACAUAACAUACACGUAACUAAAUUUGUCGUGAAUGACCUUGAAAUAUGGAGAUUUUUAAGAAUCUUAUUUUGUGCUAAAAUUGCCCGUUACGAAAGCAUCUCAGUCGGUUAUUUCUGAAUUAUGCAAGCAAUUUAUACUGCCACAUCAGUUGGUAUCUCCUAUCUGCUUGAAUAUCAAGAUAUUUCUCAUUAGUUUCUGUUACACUUCGUGUUACAUAAAGUUAUUUUUAAUUCCCGGCGCCGGUUCUCGCUGGUUCAUUGCGUAUAUUCCAGUAUUCAUAACUGUAUUAACAAGGGCACAAAGUUCUGAUGGUGUAUAUUUGUAUAAUGGUAUUGGGUUAAUGGUCUUGUAUAUAUUUCCGUACUGAUGCUAUAUCUUCCAGUUUUCCCUCCCUAACGGCAGUAAAAUAUUUCUUCCUUCUAUAUAAACGUCUAAAUGCGAGUGCCUUUGGCAACGACCCAUUGUGCAAAAUAAAUUGUGAAUUUCAGUGCAUUUGUAAUAUCUACGAGUAUUUCAAACAGUUUUCAAUGCGUUAAAUGUUUACUGAAAUAUACAUAAACAUUUCCGGCUA